UACGUAGGGUGCGAGCGUUGUCCGGAAUUAUUGGGCGUAAAGAGCUCGUAGGCGGUCAGUCGCGUCUGCUGUGAAAACUCGGGGCUUAACUCCGGGCCUGCAGUGGGUACGGGCUGACUAGAGUGCGGUAGGGGAGACUGGAAUUCCUGGUGUAGCGGUGAAAUGCGCAGAUAUCAGGAAGAACACCCGUGGCGAAGGCGGUUCUCUGGGACGGUACUGACGCUGAGACGCGAAAGCGUGGGGAGCGAACAGG
rnacentral:rRNA from 1 species